GAUUAACGCUAGCGGCAGGCCUAAUACAUGCAAGUCGAGGGGCAGCAGGGUGUAGCAAUACAUCGCUGGCGACCGGCGCACGGGUGCGUAACACGUAUGCAACCUACCUUUAACUGGGGAAUAGCCCUCCGAGAGGAGGAUUAACACCGCAUAACAUCACGAGACGGCAUCGCCUUGUGAUCAAACCUCCGGGGGUUAAAGAUGGGCAUGCGUCCGAUUAGCUAGUUGGCGGGGUAACGGCCCACCAAGGCGACGAUCGGUAGGGGGUCUGAGAGGAUGAUCCCCCACACUGGUACUGAGACACGGACCAGACUCCUACGGGAGGCAGCAGUAAGGAAUAUUGGACAAUGGUCGCAAGACUGAUCCAGCCAUGCCGCGUGCAGGAUGAACGAUCUAUGAUCUGUAAACUGCUUUUGUUCGGGAAUAAACCCCUUCACGUGUGGAGGGCUGAAUGUACCGAAAGAAUAAGGGUCGGCUAACUUCGUGCCAGC
rnacentral:rRNA from 1 species